UCCAACUGCAUCUUCAACUCGUCUUAAUCUCUCCUAUAUAUGUACUCUUUUGUUUGUAAUGCAAAAGAAAAUAAAACAUAAUAUUUUCAGUUGAUAAACUACUAAUGAAAUAUUAUACGUCAACGAAAUUUAGUAUAUAAACUACAAAACGGCAAAAAUAGCUUUCUCGAAACCAACAAAGUUAAUUGGACAAACGACAAAAAAACUCACAAAAGCCAUAGAUAGAUUUUUCAUUAACCACGUAACCGACACUUUCUUCUUUUGGGAUAAAUCUAUUUUUUUUUAAAAGCCAUAGAUUCUUAGGACACCUUAUUUUAAUGAAUUAUCUAAAUUUAAUCGGACAUUACAAACGUAACAUAUACUUACAUAUGCGUUAUUUAAUGAAAACAUUGACAAAAGUAAAUCAUUUUAGGCAACGAAACUUUCUGGACCCCAGAAUGCUCUAUAUAUAUACCUAUUAUUGUAGUCUUCCAAUAUUAUUACAUCGCAAACUAAGCUAUAGUUAUUCAGACCUCAAAUUCUACAAACGAAAUCGGUUAAGAGCUAGGAGAAAAUGAGCAAUCUUCGCCUAACCAUUGCAGUGUUUUUGGCCGCUCUUGUCUUCACUGCGACUUAGCUUGUACUUAGUUUUUUCUUUUAAUCUCAAAUUGAAUUUCUUUAUUGUUUCUUAUACAAGAACUGUGUUUUGAAUAAACUUUUUUAUUGGCAGUUUCAAACUCUGUGGUGGAAGCCAAGGGGAAAGAGGCCACAAUCAAAUUUUCAUGCAAAAAGAAUUCGGACUGUUUUACAAACAUUGCUUGUUAUGCUUUGUACUGAUUACCGAUGUGAUAAAGGAUUAUGUAAAUGCCAUGGUUUUGGUGGAGAAAAGGAAAAUCCCACAGCUGCGCCAUUAACUGCUUAAUUUCUCCAUUUCUUUUUUAAAUUUAUCUUUUGUUUUCUUGUAAUGCAAAUGGAUAAUUAAAAAGAUUUCAGAUCAAAUUAUAUCCUAUUAAUUAUUUUAAAUCAUUAUAUUUUAUCUCAUCUCUGCUUGAUCCUUUUACAUAAAAAUAUAAUAAUCACAUCAUCCAUAUUUUUUUUCUGCAUUUGUACGUGUUAAAAACUGCCACUAGUGAUUAAAUCCGGAAGUUAAUUUCAGGCAAAGUUAAUUUAGUUUUUUCCACCAAUUUUUUAAUUAUUAAAUUGUGUUUGGUUAUAUGAAUAAUACUAGGAAAAAGUAUGAGAUAUUUUUGCCCUUAAUAAGUGUCUUUUUUAAAAAAACAGCUUAUUAAUUAAUGACAUUUAAUGUAAAUCUUAACACGUCCAUAACUAUUUACUUAAAAAUGUUCCUCAAUAAGUAGUAUUAGAUAUUAGCAGUCAACUUUUCACAAAAAAAAAAAAAAAAAAAGAUAUUAUUAGUCAACAAAAUAAAAGAUUUGUUUAGUCAAAAACAAAACUCCAUAUUAUUAGUCAACAAAAAUUAUGAUAUUUUCAUUUAUGUUUACUAUUAAUGUAUACAGAUUUAUAGUUCCAAACAUUAAAAAACAGAUAAAAACCACUCUCUACUUAACCAUCAUGCCCCUAUAUAUAUAUGUUUUGUUCUGUCUUUUGUGUAUACUAUACACUAAUUUCAUUACAAACCAAACUAAAAUAAUAUACAUCGUUCAUUUCAUAUUCAACAGAAGGAAUCGGUUUUAAAACUCAAAGAGAAAAAUGAACAACCUUCGCGUAAUUAUGUCAGUGUUAUUGGCCGUUCUUGUCUUCACAGCGACUGGUAAUUAGUUUCUUUACCUUUAACGCAAUGAUCGGCCGCUCUAAACAAUUAACAGUGUUUUAAUUGAAUUGUUCUCUUUCUUCUUCUCGCAGUUUCAGAGUCUGCAGAGGAAAUGGGGAAGGGUGAGGUCACAAUCUCACUUAGAUGCAAAACGAAAACAGAAUGCUUAAAGAACAUUGCCUGUGAAGCUUGUGUCGAUUGUCGAUGCGAUAAAGGAAUUUGUAAAUGCCAUGGUUUCACAGCAGAAACCAACAAUCCAACCGUUUAACUCAUAUUUCUCCUAAAUGUUUUCUUUCUUUUUUAAUAUAAAAUGUAAAAGAAAAUAAAUCGCAAAGUUCAAUUAAUACACCAAUGAAAACUAUUUAUCAUUAUCAAUCAUUUGUUAUAUGAUUAUAUAUGGAAUGACGACGUGUGUUAAGAUUGAGAUCUCAAAUUCCACCCACAAAAACUAUGGAAACAGAAAAAAAUUAAAAGCACACGAACCAAUGUGAGAUUUACGUCAUCUUUUCGUCUUUGCAUAAUAAUGUGAAGGAGAGAAAGAGAAUUGCAAUGGCCAUUAGCUUGUAAACUGGAUGAGAAGAAGCCAUUUUGUUUCUUUGUUUUGAUUUAGUGUGCAUUUAGUAAGGUUAUAGGGUUUCUUUAUAUAGAAGGAGUAGAUUGCAACAAAAGCAUCCUCAGUGAGUGGCGUAGACUUGGAAUUUCC
rnacentral:lncRNA from 1 species